UCUGGGACAAGCCCUGGAAACGGGGUCUAAUACCGGAUAUGACCUUCCUCCGCAUGGGGGUUGGUGUAAAGCUCCGGCGGUGCAGGAUGAGCCCGCGGCCUAUCAGCUUGUUGGUGGGGUAAUGGCCUACCAAGGCGACGACGGGUAGCCGGCCUGAGAGGGCGACCGGCCACACUGGGACUGAGACACGGCCCAGACUCCUACGGGAGGCAGCAGUGGGGAAUAUUGCACAAUGGGCGAAAGCCUGAUGCAGCGACGCCGCGUGAGGGAUGACGGCCUUCGGGUUGUAAACCUCUUUCAGCAGGGAAGAAGCGCAAGUGACGGUACCUGCAGAAGAAGCACCGGCUAACUACGUGCCAGCAGCCGCGGUAAUACGUAGGGUGCGAGCGUUGUCCGGAAUUAUUGGGCGUAAAGAGCUCGUAGGCGGCCUGUCGCGUCGGAUGUGAAAGCCCGGGGCUUAACCCCGGGUCUGCAUUCGAUACGGGCAGGCUAGAGUGUGGUAGGGGAGAUCGGAAUUCCUGGUGUAGCGGUGAAAUGCGCAGAUAUCAGGAGGAACACCGGUGGCGAAGGCGGAUCUCUGGGCCAUUACUGACGCUGAGGAGCGAAAGCGUGGGGAGCGAACAGGAUUAGAUACCCUGGUAGUCCACGCCGUAAACGUUGGGAACUAGGUGUUGGCG
rnacentral:rRNA from 1 species